AUUCCUACGGGAGGCAGCAGUGGGGAAUAUUGGACAAUGGGCGAAAGCCUGAUCCAGCAAUGCCGCGUGAGUGAUGAAGGCCUUAGGGUUGUAAAGCUCUUUUACCCGGGAUGAUAAUGACAGUACCGGGAGAAUAAGCCCCGGCUAACUCCGUGCCAGCAGCCGCGGUAAUACGGAGGGGGCUAGCGUUGUUCGGAAUUACUGGGCGUAAAGCGCGCGUAGGCGGCUUUGUAAGUUAGAGGUGAAAGCCCGGAGCUCAACUCCGGAACUGCCUUUAAGACUGCAUCGCUAGAAUUGUGGAGAGGUGAGUGGAAUUCCGAGUGUAGAGGUGAAAUUCGUAGAUAUUCGGAAGAACACCAGUGGCGAAGGCGACUCACUGGACACAUAUUGACGCUGAGGUGCGAAAGCGUGGGGAGCGAACUGGAUUAGAUACCCAGGUAGUCCACGCCGUAAACGAUGGAUGCUAGCUGUUAUUCGUAUCGACCCGAGUAGUAGCGAAGCUAACGCGUUAAGCAUCCCGCCUGUGGAGUACGGCCGCAAGGCUAAAACAUAAAGGAAUUGACGGGGACCCGCACAAGCGGUGGAGCGUGUUGUUUAAUUCGAUGGUAAGCGAAGAACCUUACCCAGGUUUGACAUCUUAGGAAGUUCUGCGAAAGCAGAGUGUGCCUUCGGGAACCUAAUGACAGGUGAUGCAUGGCCGUCGUCAGCUCGUGUCGUGAGAUGUUUGGUUAAGUCCAUUAACGAGCGCAACCCUUAUAGUUAGUUGUAUUUCUCUAGCUAGACUGCCCUGGUAACAGGGAGGAAGGAGGGGAUGAUGUCAGGUCAGUAUUUCCCUUACAUCUGGGGCUACAGACACGCUACAAUGGCCGGUACAAAGGGCAGCCAAGUCGCAAGACGGAGCAAAUCCCAUCAAAGCCGGUCUCAGUUCGGAUAGCAGGCUGAAACUCGCCUGCUUGAAGCUGGAAUCGCUAGUAACGGUAGGUCAGCACACUACCGUGAAUACGUUCCCGGGCCUUGUACACACCGCC
rnacentral:rRNA from 1 species